UACGUAGGAGACGAGCGUUGUCCGGAAUUACUGGGCGUAAAGCGCGUGUAGGCGGAUGGGCAAGUCUGCUGUGAAAGCUCCUGGCUUAACCGGGAGUGGUCGGUGGAACUGCCAAUCUGGAGGACGGUAGAGGUAGGUAGAAUUCCCGGUGUAGUGGUGAAAUGCGUAGAGAUCGGGAGGAAUACCUGUGGCGAAGGCGGCCUACUGGGCCGGACCUGACGCUGAGACGCGAAGGCGUGGGGAGCGAACGGG
rnacentral:rRNA from 1 species